UCAUCUCCAUACUUGCUGCGAGGUUGAGUAAUUGGUGUCUGGAUGUGCGUGUGCUGCUUCCCAAAAUAUCUCUUUAAAAAGACGUGAGAGGGAUGCGGAGCAAGUAGCCAAGAGAACUUGCCAUCAUCCUUUCCUCUCAGGAAAACAAGAUUAUGUGAAGGAAUCCUUGCUUUGAACUAAGGAAGAAAGUUGAGAUUUCUGAAGAAGAUGGAAGUCUGAAUAGGUAUGCAAGGCUUCCUAUCUUGCUCUGAACACAUACAAUUGUAUGACCCAAAAAACACAAAUAUUUCAAAAAAGAAAA